rnacentral:rRNA from 1 species
UACGUAGGGUGCGAGCGUUAAUCGGAAUUACUGGGCGUAAAGCGUGCGCAGGCGGUUUUGCAAGCCGGAUGUGAAAUCCCCGGGCUCAACCUGGGAAUGGCAUUCGGGACCGCAAGGCUGGAGUGCGGCAGAGGAGACUGGAAUUCCUGGUGUAGCAGUGAAAUGCGUAGAUAUCAGGAGGAAUACCGAUGGCGAAGGCAGGUCUCUGGGCUGACACUGACGCUCAUGCACGAAAGCGUGGGGAGCAAACAGG